rnacentral:rRNA from 1 species
UACGUAGGGUGCGAGCGUUGUCCGGAAUUAUUGGGCGUAAAGAGCUCGUAGGCGGUCUGUCGCGUCGGAUGUGAAAACCCAGGGCUUAACCCUGGGCCUGCAUUCGAUACGGGCAGACUAGAGUUCGGUAGGGGAGACGUGGAAUUCCUGGUGUAGCGGUGAAAUGCGCAGAUAUCAGGAGGAACACCGGUGGCGAAGGCGGGUCUCUAGGCCGACACUGACGCUGAGGAGCGAAAGCGUGGGGAGCGAACAGG